UACGGGGGGGGCAAGCGUUGUUCGGAAUUACUGGGCGUAAAGGGCUCGUAGGCGGCCAACUAAGUCGGACGUGAAAUCCCCAGGCUCAACCUGGGAACUGCGUCCGAUACUGGAUGGCUUGAAUCCGGGAGAGGGAUGUAGAAUUCCAGGUGUAGUGGUGAAAUGCGUAGAGAUCGGGAGGAACACCUGUGGCGAAGGCGGCCAACUGGGCCGACCCUGACGCUGAGGCGCGAAGGCGUGGGGAGCGAACGGG
rnacentral:rRNA from 1 species